rnacentral:rRNA from 1 species
CGGUGGCGCAGCUAACGCAUUAAGCACUCCGCCUGGGGAGUACGGUCGCAAGAUUAAAACUCAAAGGAAUUGACGGGGACCCGCACAAGCGGUGGAGCAUGUGGUUUAAUUCGAGGCAACGCGAAGAACCUUACCAGGCCUUGACAUGGGUAGUUUGGUUUCCAGAAAUGGAUUCCUUCAGUUUGGCUGGCUACCACACAGGUGCUGCAUGGCUGUCGUCAGCUCGUGUCGUGAGAUGUUGGGUUAAGUCCCGCAACGAGCGCAACCCUCAUCCUCUGUUGCUAACAGGUAAUGCUGAGAACUCUGAGGAAACUGCCGGUGAUAAGCCGGAGGAAGGUGGGGAUGACGUCAAGUCUUCAUGGCCCUUACGGCCUGGGCUACACACGUGCUACAAUGGCGGUGACAAUGCGUCGCUACCUCGCGAGGGGAAGCUAAUCGCAAAACGCCGUCUCAGUUCGGAUUGUUCUCUGCAACUCGAGAGCAUGAAGUUGGAAUCGCUAGUAAUCGUGGAUCA